CCGAGGGCCUGAUCCUGCAAAGAUGUUUGACUUCCUUACAAGGAGUGAAAACUGCACAGGCCUGAGGUUCAGUUAUUGAACUGGAUGUAUCUCCCAAGAUGAGGGUUGGCCUGGACGUGAGGCCUGUUGGAUUAUAAAGCACAGGGCUUUCAGGGAAUCCAGAAGAGGGACUGCCCAGUGCUACAUGAUGGCACACGUACCUGGAUGAGAGAGGGAUCUGAGGCGUUGAGGCAGUAUCAACUUUUGUUAGUGGUGGGAAGUCUUGUCUGUGAGUGGACUUUCCUGACAGUCUUGCUUCUGGGAAUCUCCGUUUCAUCCAUUGUGUGAGCCCUUUGGUAAAUGGGUGACAAAUCUUACUGAGCAUCUAUUUACAAAGAACUGUACCAGGGUCAGGUGGUACAAAGAAGUAUCGGCACAGUCCUGCCAGUCAGAAGUUUGUGAUGUGUGUGAGGAGAUUCGCCAUCUUCUUGUGAAGAGACAAACUUGGCAUUGAAGCAGCCACCCUGGGCCUAUGCAGGGAAGUUUUGCCACAUCAGCGAGAAAGGCAAAGCAGAAGGACGGGAGGAGCCGGCGGCCUUCAAGAUACCUGUGAGCUGUAAACCGACCCCAGGGCCAACACACUUCGUGUGAAGUGAUUUUUUUCAUGAAUUGCCGAGACCAGCUCGGCGACUCGAGGUGAGUGACGGGUGCCGCAAGCUUGAAGAAGACACAGACACAGACUGAAGAGAAAAGUGGGACCGGGGGGCUCAAGACCUCUCGGAUCAAGAGCCCCGCUGACUCAUCCCAGGCUGCUUUUAUUGAGUUCGUGGGCUAACAUUCUCAGGUUACACUCAUAAACAGUCAAAGGCCUCACAUGAUUGAGGCAAUUAUCUUUGUUUACUUCCUGGGUCCGAGUUGAGCAGGUGUGGAUUUGAGCUGGUGGUGGAGAGCAAAACAGCCCUGGGGGUAGGAGACCUCUCUCAGAUAUUGGGGGUCUGUGCCCCACCCGUGUUGGCCCCUCUGCGACUGUGCCUGUCUUAGGUUGUUCCUCCCUUGAGGAAUCUUACCCGUCUCUGGCUAACCAGUCAUCCUCCAGGGCCAAACACAGUGAUAUAAGGAAGGUUCUAUGCACCACCCCUGUUGGCCCCUCUGCGGCUGUGCCUGUCUUAGGUUGUUCCUCUUCUGAGGAAUCUUACCCGUCUUUGGCUAACCAGCCAUCCCUCAGGACCAAACAGGGUGAUAUUAGUCUCCACGCCCCACACCCUCAGUUCCUCCACUGCUCAAGCAGGACAUUCUGAAUCCCAUCGCUCGGCCCACAUACUUCAACACUUUCAAUGCUUCAAAAGGGUUCCAGAAUGUCUUCCCACAAUGAAU